AUGAACGCUGGCGGCGUGCCUAAUACCUGCAAGUCGAGCGAACAGACGAGGAGCUUGCUCCUCUGACGUUAGCGGCGGACGGGUGAGUAACACGUGGAUAACCUACCUAUAAGACUGGGAUAACUUCGGGAAACCGGAGCUAAUACCGGAUAAUAUAUUGAACCGCAUGGUUCAAUAGUGAAAGACGGUUUUGCUGUCACUUAUAGAUGGAUCCGCGCCGCAUUAGCUAGUUGGUAAGGUAACGGCUUACCAAGGCAACGAUGCGUAGCCGACCUGAGAGGGUGAUCGGCCACACUGGAACUGAGACACGGUCCAGACUCCUACGGGAGGCAGCAGUAGGGAAUCUUCCGCAAUGGGCGAGAGCCUGACGGAGCAACGCCGCGUGAGUGAUGAAGGUCUUCGGAUCGUAAAACUCUGUUAUUAGGGAAGAACAAAUGUGUAAGUAACUAUGCACGUCUUGACGGUACCUAAUCAGAAAGCCACGGCUAACUACGUG
rnacentral:rRNA from 1 species